CGGCAAAGAUUUAAAAGAAAAUCAUGAGGAAGCCACAUGAGAAAAAUGUGGUAUAUGGAUUUGUCAUUCGAACACCUAAUCAUUCGGCCUUGAGGAUGAAUUCCAAAUUACAGAAAAAAAGUCAAGUUAUUACUUGCAUGAUAUUAGAAUGAAGCUAAUGACUGGUGAAAGCAAAACAGAGAAUAAUCAACCUCAAAACUUCUCCAUGCCAAAAUGUUAGGUUCAAUGGUUGUCGGAGUAGCCGAUAUAAAAUGAUUAUCUAUUUGGGAAUCAGGGUGAGAAGUGAUGAGACAUGGAGGUGACGUGGCAGCAUCGUGGACAUAGAUAUAUGACACAUGGGCGCAGGAGAUCUAAUCAGAAGGCAUAACUAGCCAGUUGAAUUCAUUUAACUGAAUUGUGUGGCUGAGAUGAGUCCUGUUCAUUAUUUGUAUACGGGAGUUGCAACUGAUUUAGGCAUUGUGAAAUCUGCUAUAUUCCUAGUUAAUNNNNN
rnacentral:lncRNA from 1 species